GCCUGAGUGGCUCAGUUGGUUAAGCAUCUGACUUCAGCUCAGGUCAUGAUCUCACGAUACAUGAGUUCGAGCCCCACAUCAGGCU
rnacentral:tRNA from 1 species